rnacentral:lncRNA from 7 species
AAACACCAUACGAAUUGAGACCAUGCCAUACAUAUAACAAUUCAAGCACUUGAAGAAAUGGAGUCUCCUACUACUGAAUAUGAUAUAUUGUAGCUAAAAAUAUGUUGUAGCAAGGUGAAAAUCUAUUGUCAAAUAUGUGUUGUGUAGCUGCAGCAAUUGAAGUAAAAGCAAAUAUAAAAUAAUACUCGAUUUCUCAAAUCCCAAACACCGAUUCAACAUUUCCUCGUUAUGUAUGUGUUGUGUAGCUGCAGCAAUUGAAGUAAAAUACUACAGAAGGUUGCAGCAGUAGCUCCAGCAAACAUGCCUCAUUGGGUGAAGCACAGGUAAAAGAGGGUUGUGAUCUAUGACUCUCCCUACUGCUCCUUUUUCAAAAAAAAAGUAUUACAAAAACAGAUACUGAAAAAAGAUAAACAUCAAUAUGAUCUAUGAUUGUAGAAAUGAUGUGUAUAUACUGCUGAAAAUAGUACAUCUAUGGAAGAGAAGGAUGCACUAAAAACCUAUAAUAUACAAUAAAACAUUGCGAUGUAUAAGUUGUCAACCAAAUGCGAGUAAAUUAAGUCGGUUGUACGAUCGUCUGUAAAUACAAGGUCAAUUUUCAGUCUGCUGCAAUAGUGUAAUCCAUGGGUACUAUAUUUUUCAGAAAUCAGGAAAACCAUUUCAAACAUCAACUUGAAUCACAAUUGUUGUGAAAUGGCUCAUAGGGUCCAAGGAUCUUCUUACAUGACAUAAGUUAGAAAGAAAAGAACAAGAAACAUUACCUGAUCAGGAUCUCUCUAAGGUUUCCAUAGAAUUGCCCAUCAAUGUACUCCUCGGUGUAGGCAAGCUACACAGUACAAAAAAGAAGUGUGUGAAUUUUGUAUGUCAUUUAGUACCCAAUUGAUGAUUAGUUAUUCAUCUUUGUAUGUCAUUUAGUACCCAAUUUAUGAUUAGCUAUUCAUCUAAAAUGUAUUCAAUAGACGAUCACUCUAUUAGUACCACAGGCAAACUGUCAAAUUAGUACCUGGAGAUUCAUAUAGGACUUCGUCAAAACAAGAUAACCUGAUAUGUACUUGUUAGAGUUUCAGUUUGAUUAAAAGCAGUAGUAGUAUCUGGUAAAUAAAAUGUUCCAGUUCAAACUGGAUACAAAAAGAAACCAUAAAUUAUAAAAAUUUUGGAAACAUGAGGACAAAUGGACAAUAUAUAUUGUCUACAGCUGCCUAGUGUUCUGUUGUUAAUUAAAAAAUCUUGCGAAGUAGUGGCAUAUAAAACUUGUGGUUAUGAAAAUUGCCCCAAAAAAUCUUUUAGGAAGAAAGGUCACCGUCUCGAAUAGGUCACUGAAAUCUUGCCAAAACAGAAGCAACAGUAUGUCAGACGCCUAAUAGAAUAGGUAGGUAAUCAGUAAAAAUGGACAAGAUACAAAAUGAUCAUCUACAUUCAAGAAUUAAAUAACAAUAAUGGAUUGGACACGGUAGAGUAGAAUGGUAACUCACUUGUUGAGUCGUAAAGUACAUCGACUCCAAGAAUAGUGUCAGGAUUUAAAUCAAAUACGGUUCAUCCCGGUCUCCCCAUGUAAGUUCUAAAACCGACGUGGUUAUGGAAUAAUCCUAAGCUCUCUAAAUUCAAUAGAAUGCAACAUGUAGAGCUCCGUACAUGAAAUCAAACCAUACUGUACAAUUGGCGUCAUUGAGAGCACAUAUGCUUCUGAUGAUGUUUAGUACCUACAUUUAGUAAAAACAAGGACGAAAUUAACCAUGCUGAAACUCUGACAAAGAUAAAAAAUGAUUCCAAAGACAAAUUGAUAACUAUUGAUGGACCCUUACUUCUAGAGUUGCACUAAAGUUUCUUUUCUCUGUUGUUCUGUUCUUAGGACCACUAACCUGCGCAAGCUUCAUGUAAUCCAUACGAUAGAGCUGAUCUCCUCACAAAAUCAAAAAAUGUUCUAUAGCUUUAUGCUUGUAAGUCUUAAAGAAGUAUGCACAACACAAGAUGCAUUGGUCUAGGGAUGGAAAUAAGUUAGACACCAGGUACCAUCAGCCACUACACAUGAUUGUUACCUCAAGUACCUAGAUAAAUUUUCUAACUAUAUUUAUUGUGUCCUGGAACCAACCAGCAGCUCCCCAGGCAUUUGUGUUGCAGAGCAUUUGACCUUCAAUUACACAUGUUACCGCUCAUCUUGAUAAAUAGUUCUUCAUUUUGUAAAUUAUACUACUGAAUGACAUUCCCAGUUAUAAACUCAUAUUAACUGAAUUAACCAAAAUUGUGGAUGGAGUGGAAGUGCAAAUUAUCAAACAUACAAUAGAAAUAGGUAAUUCUGAAAGUUGGGGAGGAGGAACCCAAACAAUUUCAAACAAAGCAGAAAAAAUGAGUGAUGUGCUAAACUAAUCCAUGACUUGAUUAUCAAAAGGGGCAGUGAAAACAUCACAAAUUCUUGAGUAUUUCUGUGUUCACAGGAGUUACAACUUACAUGCAAAAUGGUAGAAAAAUGGUCCAAAACAGGAAUAACAAAAUACUUGCAACACUAACAACCACACAAACUGCUUUGAGUUUAAAAAGUUCUGAUUUCAUAUAUAAUAUAGCACCAAAAAAUCAUGAAGAAUAAAGUGUGUUAGGAGUAAACAAGAAUACCAUCCGAGCUGGUAGCAUUUGGCAAAACAUAAAUUCUUGUCAAGAAAAAUGCAUGUUCACGAUGAAGUUGUGAAGCCAUUUUUUCACGUUAGUUGGGCUUACCAAAAUUCUUUUGGUUGGUAUGUGAGAUGAACUGAGGGUGUUGCUGUUUUAUUACCUCUUCUAGCUUGUACGUAGAUUCAUCUUUUUUGCAUAAUAGGCUGUAGAUCUAGAGAUGAGACAAAAUAACAACAAAUCAUCUAGAUUUAAAAGUCAUCUGGGGCUUUGGCAAACUGGGACAAGUGCUUAGACAAAACGACAAACAUUCAUUUGGAGUUAAAAAUCAUCUGGGGCUUUAGGCGAUCUAGGACAUUCACUACAGUCUAUGGUGCAGAAAAAUCUGCGUACAAACUCAAGAUUACUAAUUC